UGAAAAGAAAUUUUAAUUAUUAUAAAUGUAACUUAUAUAUAUAUAUAUAUUGUAAAAUAUCAUCAUCGACUCUCUAUCUUCGUAUAUUGUAUAUUUUUUAGUGCGACCGAUUGAAGCAACGGCGCUUCUGCGGGCAAUCUGUAAAGUGGCGUAUCGCCGACGAAAGAGUAUCGAAAUUCCAUUUCUGCGUCGCAGAACGAACGCGGUAUAGCUAUAGCUGGUACAAGUACUCAUGGUAAUGGGUCACACGCGACUUUUGAGUUUUCGACAUCCGGGACUGUGAUGUGAUACAGAAAGAGAGUGAGAGAGAGAGAGAGAGAGAGACCGGUGCCG